CGUAACAAGGUAGCCGUAGGUGAACCUUCGGCUGGAUCAUUA
rnacentral:rRNA from 27 species